rnacentral:rRNA from 1 species
GAUGAACGCUGGCGGCGUGCCUAAUACAUGCAAGUCGAGCGAACAGACGAGGAGCUUGCUCCUCUGACGUUAGCGGCGGACGGGUGAGUAACACGUGGAUAACCUACCUAUAAGACUGGGAUAACUUCGGGAAACCGGAGCUAAUACCGGAUAAUAUAUUGAACCGCAUGGUUCAAUAGUGAAAGACGGUUUUGCUGUCACUUAUAGAUGGAUCCGCGCCGCAUUAGCUAGUUGGUAAGGUAACGGCUUACCAAGGCAACGAUGCGUAGCCGACCUGAGAGGGUGAUCGGCCACACUGGAACUGAGACACGGUCCAGACUCCUACGGGAGGCAGCAGUAGGGAAUCUUCCGCAAUGGGCGAAAGCCUGACGGAGCAACGCCGCGUGAGUGAUGAAGGUCUUCGGAUCGUAAAACUCUGUUAUUAGGGAAGAACAAAUGUGUAAGUAACUAUGCACGUCUUGACUGUACCUAAUCAGAAAGCCACGGCUAACUACGUG